rnacentral:rRNA from 1 species
CUGUGUGUUGUUGGGUAGGGGAGCGUUCUGUAAGCCUGCGAAGGUGGCCUGUGAGGGUUGCUGGAGGUAUCAGAAGUGCGAAUGCUGACAUAAGUAACGAUAAAGCGGGUGAAAAGCCCGCUCGCCGGAAGACCAAGGGUUCCUGUCCAACGUUAAUCGGGGCAGGGUGAGUCGACCCCUAAGGCGAGGCCGAAAGGCGUAGUCGAUGGGAAACGGGUUAAUAUUCCCGUACUUGGUGUUACUGCGAAGGGGGGACGGAGAAGGCUAUGUUGGCCGGGCGACGGUUGUCCCGGUUUAAGCGUGUAGGUGUGUGUUCCAGGUAAAUCCGGUUCACUUUAACACUGAGGCGUGACGACGAGGCACUACGGUGCUGAAGCAACAAAUGCCCUGCUUCCAGGAAAAGCCUCUAAGCAUCAGGUAACAUCAAAUCGUACCCCAAACCGACACAGGUGGUCAGGUAGAGAAUACCAAGGCGCUUGAGAGAACUCGGGUGAAGGAACUAGGCAAAAUGGUGCCGUAACUUCGGGAGAAGGCACGCUGACACGUAGGUGAAGUGAUUUACUCAUGGAGCUGAAGUCAGUCGAAGAUACCAGCUGGCUGCAACUGUUUAUUAAAAACACAGCACUGUGCAAACACGAAAGUGGACGUAUACGGUGUGACGCCUGCCCGGUGCCGGAAGGUUAAUUGAUGGGGUCAGCGCAAGCGAAGCUCCUGAUCGAAGCCCCGGUAAACGGCGGCCGUAACUAUAACGGUCCUAAGGUAGCGAAAUUCCUUGUCGGGUAAGUUCCGACCUGCACGAAUGGCGUAAUGAUGGCCAGGCUGUCUCCACCCGAGACUCAGUGAAAUUGAACUCGCUGUGAAGAUGCAGUGUACCCGCGGCAAGACGGAAAGACCCCGUGAACCUUUACUAUAGCUUGACACUGAACAUUGAGCCUUGAUGUGUAGGAUAGGUGGGAGGCUUUGAAGUGUGGACGCCAGUCUGCAUGGAGCCGACCUUGAAAUACCACCCUUUAAUGUUUGAUGUUCUAACGUGGACCCGUUACCCGGGUUGCGGACAGUGUCUGGUGGGUAGUUUGACUGGGGCGGUCUCCUCCUAAAGAGUAACGGAGGAGCACGAAGGUUGGCUAAUCCUGGUCGGACAUCAGGAGGUUAGUGCAAUGGCAUAAGCCAGCUUGACUGCGAGCGUGACGGCGCGAGCAGGUGCGAAAGCAGGUCAUAGUGAUCCGGUGGUUCUGAAUGGAAGGGCCAUCGCUCAACGGAUAAAAGGUACUCCGGGGAUAACAGGCUGAUACCGCCCAAGAGUUCAUAUCGACGGCGGUGUUUGGCACCUCGAUGUCGGCUCAUCACAUCCUGGGGCUGAAGUAGGUCCCAAGGGUAUGGCUGUUCGCCAUUUAAAGUGGUACGCGAGCUGGGUUUAGAACGUCGUGAGACAGUUCGGUCCCUAUCUGCCGUGGGCGCUGGAGAACUGAGGGGGGCUGCUCCUAGUACGAGAGGACCGGAGUGGACGCAUCACUGGUGUUCGGGUUGUCAUGCCAAUGGCACUGCCCGGUAGCUAAAUGCGGAAGAGAUAAGUGCUGAAAGCAUCUAAGCACGAAACUUGCCCCGAGAUGAGUUCUCCCUGAGACUUAGAGUCUCCUGAAGGAACGUUGAAGACGACGACGUUGAUAGGCCGGGUGUGUAAGCGCAGCGAUGCGUUGAGCUAACCGGUACUAAUGAACCGUGAGGCUUAACCUU